UGUGCGUAAAAGAAGCGGGUAAUGCGGACUUUGCCCUUGGCAGCGGCUGUGGACCGGCACCAACACUAGAAAGGGAUCCAAUGCAGGUUCUGCCUCUCUCCGUCCCUCCCCCUUUGGAUGUAGCUGCCUAGGUCGGUCUCCCUCCCCCCGGCUCCGUCCUGGCCACUGAUCUUCUUGCUCCACAUCUCUUUGGGAUGGUGCGCGUCUUGAUGGGAAGGAGGAAAGCGAACAAGCCGAGAAGCCGGCUGGGAGUAGGAGCCGUUUCCCGUCCCCUCUUCCCUCGCCACUGACUGAAAGAGGCUACCCUCUUGCUCUGUCCGGCCCGAGGAUAAAGGGCGAAACUUUUAUUGCCACCUCCCGCUUGAAAACGGAAAGACUGCAGCUGGCAGCGGGAAGAGUCCCUCUCUCCGGAAAGAAAGCAGUUUGGCUAAGGAGAAGAUGAAGAAGGGAGGGGGAGGAACCCAAGCGUCGCUGCGGGGGGGACACGGAUUUAAACCCCUUCUCCCUAUUCUAAGCUAGUCUGUAGGAGAAAGGAGGAUCUCCUCCCCCCAUCCCCCAGCCGAAGACUUGAGCCGGUGACGCUGCGCUUCCAACCCCACUGGCCGAUCUAAAGCUUUGGCAACAUGGUUGGGGUCGGUCUUAAAGGCUCUCGGCUCUCCGGAGGACCGCUUGGCGCAACAAGAUGAUUCCAUUCCCCCUGGGGUAGAUCUGUCUCCCCCCUUCCUUUCAACUCCCCUCUCCCUGUAGAGCUCUUUUUAAAUUUUCUCUCACACACCCCUCCCCCGCCAGGAAACUGAUGCCGGACCUCCUCAUCCUGCCUUCCAUGCAGCACAAGAACCCCCCAAGGACCUUUAGGAAAGGUCAUUCGACGUUCUCAGGAAGAGACUUGGGUCUGCUUUAAUUGCUCUACAAGAAACUAGCGAUUAGAGAGGGAGCUUCCCCAACUUCUGAUUAGAAAGUAGCCCUCCUCCUCUUCCCCCCUCCUCCCCCCAGCCUUGCUCCAGCCCCAGCGGUGGACUGCCAGCUCUCGGAGGCGAGGUGGUGCGUCCAGGUCUCUCUGUCGCUUGUCCUUCUCGGCCAGUUAUGCAGACUCCCUGUGGCGCUCUAAGUUGCUGCUCUACCGCCACUUUCAGGAGAUCCCGUGCUUCAGAGUAGCUCCAGGGAGCUACAAAAGCUUGAAACAAAGAGACCAGGGAGGCUGAUCAAGGCGAGAGGAGAGAAGGCAGAGGGCGACGCGGGUCCCCUCGGGUCGGGGGCGCAGCGCGCGGGGGCUCCAGGUGGCUCCGCUCCAUCCUCUUCCCAGCGCUGGAAGCCCUCCCGUCUCUAAAUGGAAUUAGUGGAGAUCGAAGCCCCGGGUGUAAGGAACAGACAUGAUCCAUGGGCGCAGCUUGUUUCACAUUGUAGCAAGUUUUAUCAUCCUACAUUGGGUUGGGGCAACAAAAAAAGGAGCAGAAAAGCAAGCAACUUCAGAAGGACAAAAGACAGUGCAGUGUGGAACGUGGACAAAAAACCAAGAAGGAGGCAUCUUCACAUCCCCCAAUUAUCCCAACAAGUAUCCUCCUGACAGGGAGUGUGUCUACAUCAUAGAAGCUGCCCCGAGACAAUGUAUUGAAUUACAUUUCGAUGAAAAAUAUUCUAUAGAGCCUUCUUGGGAAUGUAAAUUUGAUCACAUUGAAGUGCGGGAUGGACCUUUUGGCUUUUCACCAAUCAUUGGUCGCUUCUGUGGAGAACAAAAUCCACCAAAAAUAAAAUCCAGUGGCAGAUUCCUGUGGAUUAAAUUUUUUGCUGAUGGUGAACUUGAAUCUUUGGGAUUUUCUGCACGAUACAAUUUCACACCUGAUCCUGACUUCAAGGACCUCGGUGUUUUGAAACCAUUGCCAGUUUGUGAGUUUGAGAUGGGAGGAUCCGAAGGAAUUGUGGAAUCUGUGCAAAUUGGGAAGGAAGGGAAAGCUUCUGAAACUGAGGCAGUAGACUGUAAAUGGUACAUACGAGCACCACCACGAUCCAAGAUAUAUUUACGGUUCUUGGACUAUGAAAUGCAGAAUUCUAAUGAAUGCAAAAGGAAUUUUGUGGCUGUCUAUGAUGGAAGUAGCUCAGUGGAGGAUUUAAAAGCUAAGUUUUGCAGCACUGUUGCUAAUGAUGUGAUGCUGCGCACAGGUCUUGGAGUAAUCCGCAUGUGGGCAGAUGAAGGCAGUCGAAGCAGCCGAUUCCAGAUGCUCUUCACAUCUUUCCAAGAACCCCCCUGUGAAGCCAACACAUUCUUUUGCCAUAGUAAUAUGUGUAUUAAUAAUACAUUGGUCUGCAAUGGACUUCAGAACUGUGUCUAUCCAUGGGAUGAAAACCACUGCAAAGAAAAGAGAAAAGCGAACAUCUUGGACCAGCUUACCAACACCGGUGGAACUGUAAUUGGAAUCACUUCUUGUAUUGUGGUCCUCCUUAUCAUUAUCUCUGUCAUAGUUCAGAUCAAACAGCCUCGAAAGAAAUUUGUCCAGCGCAAAGCAGACUUUGAUCAAACAGUCUUUCAGGAGGUGUUUGAGCCUCCUCACUAUGAGUUAUGCACUCUGAGAGGGGCAGGGGCUACAGCGGACCUUGCCGAUGUUGCCGAUGACUUUGAAAACUAUCAUAAACUGCGGAGAUCAUCUUCCAAAUGCAUUCAUGACCACCACUGUGGAUCACAGAUAUCCAGCACUAAGGGCAGCCGUAGUAACCUCAGCACAAGAGAUACGCCUAUCUUGACAGACAUUCAACCCCAGCCUGUAAAGCCCCUCAUCCAGCCCAUGAACAGGAGAAAUAUUCUUGUCAUGAAGCAUAGCUACUCACAAGACGCUGCAGAUGUGUGUGAAAUAGAUGAAAUAGAAGAGGUACCAACCACGAGUCACAGGCUUUCCAGACAUGAUAAAGCUGUCCAGCGCCAUAACAUUCCAGGUUCUGCCUCAUUGGGUCUCUAAGCAAACACGAAUCAGAGUACAACACAACUAGGGUGUAACAGACAAAUGGAAGACUGCUUGAGAAUAGUGCGCUCCUGGGUGAUUUUGAAUAUUCUACAGUGAAUUGUGAAAAUGUCGGCCUUGGAACUACAAGCUAAAGGUGUUUUGGACUCUGACCAGCUGUUCCAAUUUCAUGAAAAAGGCAUCAAUCAGUAAUGAGUAAAAUCAGUGGAUGGCAAUAAGACUCUUACCACAAUCAUUGCUAUCAUUUAUUAUUAUCAUCAGUAUUUUUUCUUUCUUUAUAUUUAUUAUCUGUCUUGUUUUGUUACAAUGGAACAAUUACCCAGUUUCAGGAACCAAAUGAUUAAAUCAGGUAUUUAACAAUUUAUAAUUUGGGUUGAAUUUUUUGUUGGAUAUAAAUCAAAUCAUAGAAUUGAAUCUGACAUUCAGAAACAGGUUUGCAUGUGUGUUGCUGAAUAUUUGAGUUGGCAAAAAAAAUCCCUUUUGAUGAGAUACAUUGUAAAAAGCAUGCAUUCAUAACUUCUACUGUUCCUAUCCAUUUCUUCGUGUCAUAUGCUUGCUAACUGUAACUUUUUAUAUAAAGAAACAUAAAACAAUGUAUAAUAAUUUCUUA